rnacentral:rRNA from 1 species
UACGGGGGGGGCAAGCGUUGUUCGGAAUUACUGGGCGUAAAGGGCUCGUAGGCGGCCAACUAAGUCAGACGUGAAAUCCCUCGGCUUAACCGGGGAACUGCGUCUGAUACUGGAUGGCUUGAGAUUGGGAGAGGGAUGCGGAAUUCCAGGUGUAGCGGUGAAAUGCGUAGAGAUCCGGAGGAACACCGAAGGCGAAGGCAGUGUCCUGGGGAGUACCUGACGCUCAGGUGCGAAAGCCAGGGGAGCGAACAGG